ensembl:lncRNA
AAGUUGUGCUCAGUGGUUUGAAUAAAUCUUGUCCUCACGGAAACUUGCGGUAAAAACCAUGAUGCUUCUGUUUGGUGCCACAAGAGCAGGCUGUGUUGCCUCAUGGGUCUGUGCCCAUUUGCCCUUUUGUUUUUCUGCCAUGUUAGGGUGCAACGUGAGUCCUUCACCAGAUAUAGCCACCCAUCUUGGUCACCUGGCUCCCAGAACUUGGAGUAAUUACUGUACUUAUCCUGUGGGACUGUGUUGAGAAGACAGUAUAAAACACUCCUGCAAGAAGAGAAAUUGCUUGCUCACUGAAACCUACCCAAAUGGAAUCCCUGAAUCAAGAUGGGUUAGGAGGAAGCUCUAGCUGGAGAGUCUACC